CUGGCAGUCAUUACAAAGUUCCCUAGGAACUAGGCUGGACAUGAGUACAGCCUACCAUCCACAGACCGACGGGCAAAGUGAGAGAACUAUCCAAACCUUAGAAGAUAUGUUGCGCGCCUGUGUGAUAGACUUUGGAAAAGCUUGGGAUACUCAUCUACCCCUUGUUGAAUUUUCCUACAACAAUAAUUAUCACACGAGCAUAAAGGCAACUCCAUUUGAGGCCCUCUAUGGCCGAAAGUGCAGAUCCCCUCUGUGCUGGGCUAAAGUAGGUGAUACCCAGUUAGCUAAGGGACGAGUUCCCGAAAGCACUCUCACGGGUCCGGAGAUCAUUCGGGAAACGAUAGAGAAGAUCGUUCAAAUUCGUGAACGAUUGAAAGCCUCUAGAGACCGACAGAAAAGCUACGCCGACAAGCGUAGGAAACCAUUGGAGUUCCAGGUGGGCGACCGAGUCCUACUGAAAGUCUCACCCUGGAAGGGCUUGAUACGCUUUGGAAAGCGUGGGAAGCUCAAUCCAAGAUACAUAGGGCCUUUCGAGAUUCUCGCAAGAAUCGGCCCUGUGGCUUACAAGCUCAAUCUACCGAAAGAACUCAGUAACGUACAUCCUACCUUCCACGUGUCAAACUUAAAAAAGUGCCUAUCCGACGAGACUCUUGUUAUUCCACUCGACGAGAUCGGGAUCAACGAGAGCCUCAACUUCGUGGAGGAACCAGUAGAGAUCAUCGACCGAGAGUUCAAGCAAACAAAGCAGAGCCGUAUCCCGAUAGUGAAGGUGCGCUGGAACGCAAAGCAUGGACCGGAAUUCACUUGGGAACGAGAGGAUCAGAUGAAACUGAAAUACCCUCAUCGUUUCGCUUAAUUAUGUGUACUUUCUUACUUGCUUAAAUUCUAACUUUAGGACGAAAUUCCUUCUAACGGGGGGAUGAGGUGACAACCCGAAAUUUCCAUUUAUACGAAAAAAAUCUAUUCAAUAGAAGCCAAUCCAAUUUCAGUGACUUUCAGACUUUUCCGAACAAGUUUGUGUACAUUAGGGUUUACACUUUAGGAGAUAUCAGCAGAGUGGAUACUCCUGGGUUUGUGAAAUUUGAACAUUUCAAGUUUCAUAAUGUUACAGUCCAAGUUCGAGAAUAAAAAUAUUUUCUGUCAAAAUAUUUCAGGACUAUAAAUAGUUUUCUGAAUUAAAUUAAUUCAUUAUUCACAAUUCCAACUAGAGAAAAGCCAUUUUCUCUCUGACAGAUCUUCGGGUUUUUAUCCCAGAUUGUGAGUAACUCUUUCUAGUAGUGUUAGAAUACAUAUUAGAUGCUUAAAACAUGAUUUAGAUGGCUAAAUCAUGAGAUCUAGGAGUUUACUCCCCAAGGUGUUCUUGGGCGGUAAACUCCCGAAACAAAGCCAAAACUGACAUUNCUCUUGUGUUAGGAUAAAGCCUUAGACCAUUAGGUAUGCAUGUUAGGGACAAGAAAACACACACAAAUCCAUCCAAGAUUGGGAGUUUACGACCCAGAACUCUAUUAGGGCCGUAAACUCCAUUUCCUAACCCUAAAUGGUGAUUUGAGGACUUAAGGACUUUAUGGCUUUCAUCUAGGUUAUUUUCCCAAGUAGCUUAAGGUCUUAAACACAUCACAUCACCUAAAGCCCUAAACCUUUACAAGAAAUUGUACCCACUAAAUGGAAGGACCAAACCACACCAAAAUCACAUAACCAAGUGAGUUUACGGCCAAGACAUGGUUCUUGGGACGUAAACUCCUAAAAAGGGCACUAAGGUGUGCCUAAUGCCUUCAUAUGCUAGGAAUAAAAGUCUAGAACAUAUCCCACAAGUGCAAGAGGCUUGAAAGCAACAAAGGAAACACCCUAAGGGAGUUUACGGCCGUAAAAUCCAAGGGGAAAUGGCCUUGAGGCCGUAAACUCCUAUUUGGAGUACUUCUAGACCUUAAACCCUUCCAAGGACAUAGCCACUAAGUUAGAAUAAUUAUAGAAAGCAAUUGGGACUUCAAAACACACCAAAGACACAUGUUUGGGAGUUUACGGCCGUAAACUUAAGAGUUUACAACCGUAAACUCCAUGUGUGAUGGUUUAAGGAGAGUAAACUCUCUUGUAGGGUCCUUUGGAAACCCUAAACUCAAGUACCAUGUCCCACAAUAGCUUAGAUGAAGUCCUUGAGGCUUAAAACACUUAUAUAAAGUGUUAUUUAUGUCUAGGAUGUCUUAAAAAUUAUCAAUUAGUCUUUUGAGUCUAAUUGAGUGCAUAUAUGUGUGAUUAUAUGUUCAUUAGGAUCGUAGUGUGUGCACAAGUCCUCGCUUGACACCUACCCAUCCUAUACUGUUCAGAUCAUUCCAAUCACCAACUACAGGUGAGUUCAUACCCCUUAAUCAAUGUUUUAAAGAAUUUUAAAUGCUUUAAUGGGGGGGGGGAAUACGAGUAGAAAACAAUAUGUUAUUAAAUCAAUUUUAUGUAUUUUAUAACUGUGUUUUCACUCAGUAGAUUUCACAUAUUUCAAAAGGUGUCACAUGAAAUGGUUUUCUAUCUUAAAAUACUUGGAUAACAGAAGUAUUAGUUUUGAAAUGUAUAAUGACUUCAAGUCACUUUAAAUUAUUGUUCAAAACUCCUAGAUAUCUUGCAAAACCAGUAUUUUUACCUUUUUGGAUCAAACUAUACUUAUGCGCAUAUGUUCAUUUAUAUGUUAGAGAUUAUAGUUUUCAUCCUUCGUUCAGUUUCCCGCACCCUGGCGUAUAAAAGGGUGCAUAAAUAUACUUGAACAACCACAUACUUUCCAGUUAGCUAUCAUAGGGAUAGUCAGAAGAUAUCAAACAAGAGUUAGUUCAUUCAUGAGUCUAUACCAAUACCUUACAUGAUACAUGAGUACACGUGCUUAGGAUUUCAUGAUACAUGAAUAUGUUUACAUAUACUUACCUGUUACAUGAACACACUUACAUGAAUACCAUACAGGAACACUUCUUCAUAGGUGCAUUAUCCUGUAUUUACUUACCUUGGAUACUUGUACUUAGAACUAAGAGGAUGAUUUAUUAGUACUUACUGUGUAAAUUGUCUUUCCUAUCCCGGUUCAAUGGGAUGUUUCGGCGGGACUUACCAUUCCGAAUCUCACUGAUUAGCACCAGUGGUCGAUGAACGUCUACGGAUGUCUAAGGUUGUCACUUAUUUAGUAGUCAGUGACGGGACUAACCAUCCCACUGUCCACUGUUGCAACAGUGGAUGAGAUGUGAAUCUUCGGAGGAUCAUUAGGUUGACGAUCUGCAUUAAGAGAUCGAUACGGGGACUAACCCUCCCUCCACCCUGCUGCUGCUACAGAGGAUGAGGGGACACUCUUCGGAUGUUCCAUAGGGUCUAUCUUUCGCUUCAGCGAUGUCGUGUUUGUCCUGGUAACCCAAGACAAUAACACUUACAUGAUUUUAUUUCCCCUGUUUACUUUAUUUUGUGAUUACUUUCACGUAAACAAGGAGUUAGACUAAGUGCUAUAGUACUAGUCAAUAGAAAGGAAAAACUAUCAUUUUACAUACAAAACAUUCGUGUCUUGGUAGAAGACUACACUUCAUACAUACAGAACAUUCGAGUCUUGGUAGAAGACUACAUUUCAUACUUAUAGAAAAUAAGGGUUUUUCUAGGGUUUUCAUGCUUACCUCAACAUCUUCAUUUAAAGGUUUACAUGGCAUUCAUAGCAGAUUUUCACAAACAAAGAAAUGACACUUAUAUACUUAUGAACUCACCAGCUUUAAAGCUGAUACUCGCUUUCAAAAUAACUUGUAUUCUCAGGUCGUCAGUAGAGAGGUACGGAGGCCAGGUUUUGAGAAGACGAAGCAGACAACUCUCAUCUUUUAUUUUGAUUGUAUAUUUUUGGUGUCUUACUAUAAUGAAAGAACACACAUGUAUUAAAACUUUACUUAUAAUGCAAUGGAUGAUGUUGUUGCUUGUUUAUUAUAUUACACUGUUGUGAUACUGUACAUGACGUCCUCCACCCCUGAACGUUUCCGCCGUUCGUGGUUUUGGGGUGUGACAAGUUUCACGGAUGAUUUCAGGACCAGUGAGAGCAUUGUCGGGGACUCGACCCUUGGCUAGCUGCAUGUCCCCUACCACGGCCCAGCACACAGACGGGAUCUACACCUGCGAUCGUAGAGGGCUUCGAACGGGGCAGCCUUGAUACUGGUAUGGUAACUGUUGUUAUACGAAAACUCGAUCAAGGGUAAAUGAGUGUCCCACGACUUGCCAAAAUCGAUGACACAUGCUCUCAACAUGUCUUCCAAGGUCUGGAUAGUUCUCUCACUCUGCCCAUCUAUCUGAGCAUGAUAAGUCGUGGUCAUGUCUAGCUUAGUUCCAAGAUCCUUCUGUAGGGACUGCCAAAAUCUCGAGGUAAACCUGCUAUCUCGAUCGGAGAUAAUGGACACAGGCACACUGUGCAGUCGGACUAUCUCUUGAAUGUAGAUUCGCGUGAGUCUUUCCAUUUUGAAUGUUUCUUUGAUCGAUAGGAACUGAGCAGAUUUUGUCAAUCGAUCAAAAAUUACCCAAAUGGUAUCGCACCUACUCGGAGAUUUAGGUAAUUUGUUAAUGAAAUCCAUAGAAAUCAUCUCCCAUUUCCACUCUGGUAUUUCGGGCUGCUGGAGCAGACCUGAGGGCUUCUGAUAUUCGACCUUCACCUUGCCGCUAGUCAGACACUUGCCCAUGAAGGUAGCGAUUUCGGCUUUCAUGUUUGGCCACCAAUAUAGUUUCUUGAGAUCCAGGUACAUCUUAUCUGAACCUGGGUGCACGGAGUAUCUAGUCUUCUGAGCUUUGUUCAUAACUACCUCCCUGAAACCUGAAAACUUUGGGGUCCCAAUUCGAUCCAUGAAAUAAUAGACUCCGUCACCUCUGAUCUCAAGAUUCUUAUCCAUUCCCCUCAAGUCUUCAUUCAACACGUUCUCUGGUUUUAGGGCUUCCAACUGAGCCUCUUGGAUUUGUGCGGAUAAGUGAGAAUGGAUGGUCAUUGUUAGUGUCUCCUCCUUGUUGCCUGAGCUUUCCUUUCGGCUAAGGGCAUCUGCCACCACAUUGGCCUCGCCGGGAUGGUAGCGGAUUUCGCAUUCAUAGUCACUGAGCAGCUCUACCCAUCGUUGUUGUCUCAUACUUAAGUCCUUCUGAUCAAAGAUGUGUUGUAGGAUUUUAUGGUCCGUGAAGAUCGUGCACUUGGUCCCGUAGAGAUAAUGUCUCCAAAUCUUUAGUGCGAAGACCACUGCUCCUAACUCCAGGUCGUGAGUUGUGUAGUUGACUUCGUGUGCUUUCAGUUGUCUUGAGGCAUAAGCAAUAACUUUUCCUCCCUGCAUAAGCACACAGCCUAUACCCUGAUUGGACGCAUCCACUACUAGAAAAAAGGCCUUUUACGAUGCUCAUUGUGCAUCGUAAAACGCUCAGACGACGCGCAAAUGCGUGUCAAGGAAGGCCGUGUCAUAAAGAGAGACGACGCGCUUUUGUGCGUCGUCUAUAGACGACGCGCAUUUACGACGCGCAUUUAUGACGCGCAUUUACGACGCACGGUUAUGACACGCAAUGCGUAUCAAGGAAGGCCCUGUCAUAAAGGAAGACGACACGCAUUUGCGUGUCGUAACCUUAUGACGCGCGUGUUUAUGACACGCAAUGCGUAUCAAGGAAACCCCUGUCAAGAAAGGCCAUGUCAUAAAUGAAGAUGACACACAUUUUUGCGUAUCAUAAUUUUAAAUGUUAAAAAAAAUAUUAUUUAUAGAUUUGCUUAUUUUCAAAUUAAAUUUGUAUUUAAUGUUUAAUAAUAGAUAAUAAAAUAUCAUAUACAAAAAUAGAAUCCAUUGCAUAAAUUUAAUGUCAUACAAAUAAUCGUUCCAUAUGUAAACAAAUAUAUACCAAAAACAUCAUGUCAAAAAAUUGUAAUACAUUUAUAUUAAGGGGAUCUAAUUGUACAUUGUUAUUAAGAGGUUUUCCCUAACUAUAUAACAUAAUACUAAAUUGCUAUUAAGGGACACCUUAUGCAAUGUAAUGCUAUAGAAACUAAAAAGAUAUACACAAAGAUGAUAAACAUCAAAUUCCAACUAAGUAGAGUUGAAUCUUGCCUUUCAUACUUCUUUAAGACUAAUAUUGAACCCCUGCUCCGAUAAUUCUUGUGACCUGAUCAAAUAAAAGUCAAAAAAUUAAUAUGUUAAUACAAUUAUUAGAAGAAUCAAACUUGGAAUGUUAGUUGUAAAAGACGAAAUUACCCUUUUCUCCAUCCAAAGAAUUUGGGAUUUGGAAUAAAUACACUACAAUAUGAAUUACCUAAUAUCAACAAUGACAAACACAAUGACAAGAAUACCCGCAUACAAAUGGUAAAUAUUAUCUGUAAAGCUAUCAACAAUGAUAUUCACAAUGACAAUCUUUGAUCAUAUAAACUAGAGAGUAUAUCAUCACAAUUCCAUCUAACACCACCCAUUAGAACACGUAAAGCUACUCAACCAACAUAUCAUGUCAUGUAAUGUAUUUUUUGUCAGUAUAUCUUCACAUAGAAAACAAAAGUGAAAUAAAUAAAAAUAACAACCUUCUCAUUUACUGAAAAUGGAUAUUGUUCACAUAUAUGGGAGCCAUUUUCAGAAUUACCAUCCCCAUUUACCUGAAAUCAUUCAUGCCAUUUUAACUCAAAUAAUUUAUUUAUAGUAAAAAAAAUAAAUAUUUAUAAUUAUAGUGUUUUGAUUAUAUAAUAUAUACCCAUCUGUCACUGACUCCUCAUUCGUCAUAAGAAUGAACAAAUAUUUUAAUUAAUUACCUUGAAAUGAUAAUAAUAUAAAUACUAUAACACCAUGGCAUGGUAUAUUUGAAUAAUACCUAGUGUAGCAUCCAAGAUAAGACGUUGACUUGUUGCUUGAGCAGAUUUUGCAGUGUAUGCUUUAAGGGCAUCAUCCCACCGUUGCAGCUUUUCAUACCUUGUAUUUGGAAGCAACAUAAACAAUUAAUAUUUUGAGAAAAUAAGACAAUGUAAAUGAUUUCAGGGUCCUGGAAAUAUACCAUGAUUCCUUCAGUUGUAAAUCCAAACAGCAUCCCAUAUAUAGUUAUAUACUUAAGAGAGUGAAAAAAGGAAAGUGAGCUAGUUUCUAUAUAUGCUUACCCUCCAAAAAGAUAGAAGUGAAAGUAUCCAAAAGAAAGCACUUAUCCACCUUGAUUCCUUAUAUGCAAUCCACACCUGAUCAAAAGAAGCAAUCAAACAUUAUUGUUAUAACAAAAGUCGAAAAAUCUCCUUUUCACUAUAGUUGGAAAGUAUAUAAUAAACAAAGACUUACUGCUACAAUGACAAUACAAAAAUAGAAAUCGGUUGUUGUUGCUAUCAUGCACCUGUGAGCAUUUACAACUAUGUAUGAGCAUUUACUAUUACACUUUUUUACAUAAAUUAAAUAAAAGGGAAAUUUUAAAUGGUACCUUGAUAAUACAUUGGCAUUGAAUGUAGAUCCAUCAACGAUAAGCACAUAAAUAAAAGUUCCCAGCAUCAAGUAGCCUAGUGCAGAAAUGAUUAUUUUUGCAAUUAAAACAAAAUGUCCCCUUUUGUAUCCCAUGGCAUCCCUAUAUAAGCCAAAUAUAUAAUAAAAUUACAAGCAUUUUAGCAAACAUUUUUACUUGAUUUUAGUUUUUGUUAUCGUUAUUGGACAUGUCCCUCAAAAGAUAUAAUGGAUCCUUUGAUGAUUCUUCUGGUGACAACUUAAAGAACUGCAGAGCCACGUAUCAUUUGUAAUAGGGCUGUAGAAGGAAUGAAAACUUACUUAAAACAUGUUACACUUGUAAUUAAUAGUAAUAGUAAUAAUAAUAAUAAUAAAGUUUAAUUACCUUCCUGCAAAAAGUACAACAGGUAUCAAUACAGCUGCCUUGAUCCAGCAUGAUUCCUUGUAGACUAUCCAAGCCUAAGAUUGCAGGUAUAUACAAAACCACAUAUAACUCCAUUUGAUUCAACAAGCUUGUAACACCAUGGUCAAGAUCAGUUCCAAAAUCCCCAGUAAACACGCCACCUGAAUAGAACUGGAAACCCAUGCCACUGGCAUCAAUGGCAACUAAUACGGGUUGAUUAGCGACUGCCUGUAACAAUGCGGAUUCACUGUUGGCUGGCACUUUUUCAUACCCAGUAAUGGUGGCAGCAUGGACAGCUUCUUCCUUGGUGUUGCAGGUUCCAUCUGUUGCCUGAUAUGGGUAAGCCACCUCGGUGUUGAUGCCUUUGUUUUUAACGAUAAACUCAAAGCCAUCUUCCAUCUCGCCACCAUCACAUCCUCCGUUUUGUUUUUGGGGGGUUUUGAUUGGUGUUUGUUCCUUUAGGGUUCCGUUUUCAGAAUGGUUUCCUGUAAUCAAAGAUUUUGAUAUUAGUAUGGAAUUGAGUUCCAAAUAUUCAAAUUGCAGUAAAAGAAAUGAUCUUACUGUUACCGUUUUCCGUAGAGCGACCAUUUAAAGGAGGGGAAGAAGCAAACCCAGUGUAAUCACCUGAAUUCAAAUAAAAAAAAUGAGAUAAAAAAUGAUUAUUUUUAUUUUUAAGGUAGCAGCAGAAAAUUAGUUUACCGUUUGUUUGUGCUGGAGAAGAUGCGUUUUUUAAUUUUUCAGCAGAUGAUUUGCCAGGCCAUUGUUUAAGAGGGCGAAUAACCAGAGCUCUUGGAUUCUCCCUUGGAAUAAAAAGAGCAUCUGCUUUUGGUGUGCUGGUAGUCUCUUCAUCAUCACUAAAAAAUGAAACCUGUAAUUGUAAAAAAAAUAAAUCAGAUCCAUAAAAAACAAUAAGGGCAAAAUAGUCAAUAUAACAACCGAUAUUACCGUUGGCCCAUCGUUUUUCGGGUGAUACUUUCUAGCACCCCACGAAUGUUUUACCAACCAGUACUUCAUGCCAAAGCUGUGUAUAUGAUGUAUUCACCAUCACCACAGACAACAACAUACCUCCUAUUUGGGUUGUGCUUCAAGCUCUGUGGAAAAAUAGAAAAGUCAAAGUCCAUAUGGUUGACUAUUUUCAGUUUAAAGGAAGGUAGGAACAAGCAUAACUCACUUGUGGAUAAAGAUCACAUGUUCCCAGUUCUUUAACUGCUAAAGGCAGCCUCUCUCCAUCAGAAACCUGAACAAAAAUUAGAUUUUUUUUCCCAUUUCAUUGUUAACAUAACAUAACAUGUAUAUGGGCUUUAAAGUCCAAACCUCAUGAUCAACUCCCACACUCUUGAUGUUAAUAGUUUGAAUUUCAUUAUGUUUAGCCCAUAUAAUUUUUCCACUAUAGUCCAUGCUGGCUACAAGCUCUUCACGUCCAAUUUUCACCAUUAUGGUUCCUUCAUCAUAGCCAAUAAAAAUUCUGUAAAAACAGUAAUUAAAAUAAAUCUAGAUGAAUGAAGAAGCAUCAAGAUUCAAGACCCACAAAACAAAAAACAAAAAGUGCUAUACAAAGUUACCGACGUGAACCUUUCAUGUAUCCAAUAGCCCAAACCCUUUCAAGUCAAUAGUUCAAGGUGUUCUCAAGUCUGAAUAAAAAAAAGAGUGGCAUAAAGUCAAAAAGUUUACAUUUUUAACAUAUGUAUAACGAGGGUAUUUUGGUCUUUUGAUAGGAAAUGAAGAAAGAAAUUGAAUUCCUUCCAUCCAUCAAACAUGGAAUUUGAAGGAAUCCAAAAAAAAUUGAAUUCCAUCCAUUUGGAAAUGAAACACACCAUGGAAUGGAAUCUAGCAUUCUGAUUCUUUUAGAAUCUACAAAACAAACACACCCUUAAAGGUAAAAAAACAAGAGCUCACCUUUAAGUGGUUGAAUGCCAUUAAACGACAAGACCAACUUCUGAACCCUGUCAUAAUUAUUGGAAGCUCGGGAUGGAAACAUACAGCAGAAACAUUGUGUGUGUGACCUUCUAGAGUUUGGACACAGGUUUUAGUUAGCAACUCUACAGUAACAGAUCACAGUUGUGACCGUAUUGCUGGAUUCUCAUAUUGAGAUAGUAAAGGGAAUCAAAUCAGUUUAGAAAUUGUAAGUAAAUGAGAUUCAAUUCCUAUUACAUAAAUUAAAUUCCAACUCCUAAACACUAAAUUGAUUUUUUUAUCAUUAUCAAAACACAAUUGGCUGAUUACUACUCAUGUGUAUGUAUAAUAAUAGUAAAUUGAAUCUAAUAGGAAUACAUAAAUUUUUAUUUACCUGUGAGGUUGUCACUGUGGCAGGUUGCUUUGAACCUUGUUCAUUAAUCUUUGGACAAUCCCCUUUUGGUUCAAACAUUUAGUCAAACACCUAGUGUGCAUAAAAAAAUCAGGUACUUAUAUCAUAAAAUAUUAACAAUUCCAUGAAAAUAUAUGAGAGAGGGUAAAAAGGCACAAAAAAUCGUCCAAAAAGAAGGACCAGUAGGACAUGAAACAGGUAACUAUGGUUGAAAAAGGAAGAAUUACCUUUGAAAUAGGCCUACUACGCAGAUGAAAUAGGCAACAGUGGUGGUAUAGUGGUGGUUCUGGGCUGUUGCGAAGGCAGUGUGGUGGUGGCUCAGGGCUGGUGUUGUGGUGCGAUGUUGUAACGGUGGAGUCUGAAAGCAAACACAAAUUGUGAUGGAAGCUAUUGUUGUUGGUGAUGUCCGAUUCAUCAAAAGAAAAUCAUUCUUCGAUCAAUCUUCUAUUUUGUGAAAGAAGAUAUUACUAUUUCAAAUGUGUUAUGUUUGAUUAGGGUUUGGACAUAGAAGGAAGUCAAAGUCGAUCGGAGAGGAAGGGGUUUGCAGAGAGAAAGAAGGGAGAGAAUGAAGUCGAUUUUGGCGGGUGUAGAGAGUAGAGAGGAAGAGGAAGCGGGUGUUCAAAAUUUUGGGGGAUUUAGUUUCCCCCCUUACCUAUCAAGGAGUCCCAGAAACGCGCGUUUAUUAAAAUUAUAAAGCGACAUUUGUAGAGGACGCCCGUUUUAUUAUAGGUGCCCUCCGUGUUUUUAAUAUUUUUACAUGAGACACUAAUUUAAGCGCACUCAGUAAUGCGCGACCUAAAUCCUUAAAAUUUUUGAAGAGGUGACACUUUUUUAAUGUCGCUCUCUAAUGCGUAACAUAAAUCAAAGAGCUUCGUGUUUUGCGCGUCGUAAAAGGCCUUUUUUCUAGUAGUGAUCGCAGUAGACAACGAAAUCAUCCGUCCCUUCGGGCAGGGACAUGAUAGGUGCGCUACACAAGGCUCGCUUCAACGUUUGGAAUGCAGCGUCUUGUUUUUCACUCCAACAAAAGGGUACACCUUUCUGUGUCAGAGUAGUUAAGGGUUUGGCAAUUCUAAAAAAAUUAUGGAUGAAUCUACGAUAAUAGCCGGCAAGGCCCAAGAAUUGACGGAUUUUUGUGGGUGUCUUCGGUGCCGACCAAUUCUCUAUCGCCUUGAUUUUGGAAGGGUCCACAUGUACACCAUCCUCACUUACCACGUGACCUAGGAAAGUUACCUUCCGAAUCCAGAAUUUGCACUUGGAGAAUUUUGCGUACAGCUUCUCUGAUCUAAGUGUUUCCAACACUAACCUCAAGUGUUGUUUGUGAUCUUCCUUGCUUCUGGAAUAGAAAAGUAUAUCAUCAAUGAACACAAUAACGAACUUGUCAAGAAAAGGAUGACACACCCGGUUCAUCAGGUCCAUGAACACCGUCAGUGCGAUGGUUAGACCGAAAGGCAUCACUAAGAACUCGUAGUGACCGUAGCGAGUCCUGAAUGUUGUCUUGGAGACAUCGCUCUCAUGAACUCGUAGUUGAUGGUACCCUGAGGUCUAUUUUCAAGAAGUAACUGGCUCCUUAAAGUUGGUCGCAAAGGUCGUCUAUUCGAGGAAGAGGAUAACGGUUUUUGACGGUCAGCUUGUUCAAUUCGCGGUAGUCUAUACACAUCCGAAAGGAUCCAUCUUUCUUCUUCACAAAUUACACUGGGGCUCCCCAGGGUGAGGAACUCGGUCUAAUGAACCCUUUGCUAAGUAGGUCAUUAAGCUGACUGGAUAACUCCUGCAUUUCUGCUGGUGCUAAAUGGUAUGGAGACUUGGCUACGGGGGUAGCUCCGGGGAUUAGGUCGUUGCGAAACUCAACUUGGUGUUCGGGAGGGAUUCCCAGGAACUCUUCGGGAAAGACAUCAGGAAAGUUGCAGACUUCGGGGAUGCUCUCGAGGUCUUUAACUUCUUGUUUCUCAUUUAUCAUAUGGGCUAGGAAUGCAUGGCACUCCUUUCGCAGAAGCUUUUGGGCUUUGAUGCAUGAAAUGAUGUGAAGGUUGGAAGUAAGUUUAUCACCGUAGAUCAUGAGGGUCUGGCCAGAGGGAAGACUGAGACGGAUAGAUUUUUUGUAACAAAGGAUAUCAGCAUGAUUGGGGCUCAACCAAUCUAUGCCAAUGAUAACAUCAAAGCUUUUUAUAGAGACUGGCAUAAGGUCGAUGGGGAAAGAAUGGUCAUUGAGGGUAAGGGUGUAGCCUAUGAAUAUAUCGUUAGCGUUCUCUUUCUCACCGUUAGCCAUGUUGACGGUAAAUGUUUCAUUUAGCGGUUAAGGAUUAUGUUUAAGAAGAUGCUUGCAUGAAUGGCUAACAAAACUUCUUUCCGUACCUGAAUCAAAAAGGAUGCAUGCAUUUGAGUUGUCAAGAAGGAACAUACCCGUGACAACGGUGGGAACGGCGACAGCCUCCUCUUGCCCCAUUGUUAGAACUCUCCCAGUGAUGUUAGUCGUUGUUGCUUUGGGGCUGUUUCUCUUGUAAUGCCCGACCUCACCACAACCAUAACAAGCUUGACCGACACCUGCUCCGGAAGCUUGAUUGGUUGGUUGGGCUGGUGUUCUGCGUUUUUGAGCAGUGUGGCCCUUUUUGCCACAGUUGUUGCAGAGCAUCUCACUACAUGGGUUAGAAGUGAGAUAAUGGUAGUUGCACUUGUCGUACCGAGGAAAGGUACCAGCAUAUCUACAGGCAGGUGCUUGAGUGGCAGGAGUAGCGAUAGGAGUAGUAGCAGCGUGGACUGCCACAGUUUGCUGUUUCUUUGAGGGUUCCUGCGAAGACUGACCUUUCUUCUGUUUCCAGAAUUUUCUUUUCUCACCACUCCCUUUAGCCGGUUCAGGAAUGGUGGUCACUUCAUCGAGAUCGAUUCCAUGAUCGAUCAGAGUCUGCACCACGCACUUAGCACUGUCGAAGGUGUUUGGCCUAGCAGCCAAGACAUUUCCUUUUGUUGGCUGGGUCAGCCCCCAAAUGAAUCUUUCAAUCUUUUUGCUUUCCGGGGUGACCAUUACCGGACAAAGGAGUGCUAAGUCUUCAAACCUAGAAGUGUAGGAAGCGAUAUCGGAACCCCUCAUCUUUAGGUUCCAGAGUUCGUGUUCCAGUUUCUGCAUUUCUCCCUGCGGGUAGUACUCGGCAAGUAUGAGCUCCUUCAAGCUCUCCCAACCCAUAGCAUUUGCUACUGGAUGGGUUAAGGAUUUGGCUCGCCCAUUCCACCAAGUCAAUGCUUUGUCGGUGAAAGUGCAGGCGGCGAACUUCACCUUGUUAGCUUCCGAACAGGAACAAAUUUCGAAGAUAGAAUCGAUCUUCUCGAACUAACGAGUUAGGGCAAUAACACCUCCAGUGCCAUUGAAAGACAUGGGUUUCACAUUCAUGAAGUCUUUAUAGGAACACUCCUUCUGGUGCCCCUGACCACCUUCCUAGUUUUGGGGAUGAGUACCACCUCCUGGCCUGCCAGAGACGCCGGGGUUCAUCUGUGACAUUGCAGCUGCCACUGCGGCAUUAACAGCUGCUUGAAACAUGACAGGAUCGAAUUGAGGAGGAGGUGGUGGCAGAGGAUUGUUGUUCUUUGACCUGGGUCUUUUCCUUGGAGGCAUCUUUAUCUAAAAUGAUCAGGAAAGAGAGGAUGGUAAGUCCUCUGGAUUGAAUCAACAGAUAUGAAGCAAGAGAUAUCUCAUUAUGGCAAAUAGAGUGUUCUACUAUGCGAUACUAUAUAGGAAAACUACCAAUGCAAGAGAAUUACCGCUAAAGGGAAUGAAUAGCAACACUUGGAUGUGGACCUUUACAACAAAUUUGACUUUGGAAAAUACUGCUAUAGUAUUUUACGUUUUGUUGCGACGAUGAUUUGUUGUUUGGAUAUUUGGUAAGUUUUAGGCUUGAUGUACACCACAGUCACUCCCAACCACAUGUUGGCCGUGUCUCGAAUGAAUAUAGUUGAUCAUGCUAUAUUGACCCUAAACAUGACUACAUAACUGUCAAGGUUUAACAGCAGCGCCCAACACACAAUUACUUUUGUUUUGUUCUACUCAUGGUUACUAUUUCUAACAUUUAGGUAUUCUUGUAUACUUUUUGUAAAAUACUUGUAUUUUAAAGUAUACUUUUAGUUCACGCUUCAGCCCCUUAGUGUUUAUAGUUAUAUACCAUGUAAGGUUCGGUAUACUUAGUUCACUAUAAACAAAAGCUCUGAUAUCAAUCUGUCACACCCCCGAACCGUCAGCAAAACAACGGCGGAAACGUCCGGGGCGAGGACGUCAUGUAAAGUAUCACAACCAUUGUACAUAGUAAGAAUAGUAAAAACAACCAUUACAUUACAUAAGAAUAUUUACAUUUGUUUGAAAGUAAAUUAACAUAUAUUAAGUACAUCAGUUUAUGCAAAAAGUAAAGACGAGACUUCUAUAUGCUCCGUCUUCUCCAAAAGUAAGCGAGGUACCUGUCUAACGUGGACCUGAGAAUACAAGCAGUUUUAGAAAUAUCAGCAUAAAGCUGGUGAGUUCAUAAGCGGUUGAUUUCUGAUGAAAGAAAAUGUUCCUUUGAUUUUAUGAAAAGUUGUUUCCCAAGAAAAUCCCAUAUUUUCUUAUAAAAGAAGUUUGGUUAUCCAUUUGUUAAACAACCUGUUAAUGAAAAGUUAAGUUAUCGCAGGAAAAACCUAUAUUUUUCUUAAAAGUUAAUUGUUGGUUAUCGAUCCGGAAUGAAGUGUACAAGUAUCUACCAUACUUGCAUCGUUAGGUGAAGUUUCCACGAAAACUCGGUUACUCUCGAUGAGAUACAUUAGUUUUAAUACACACAUAAAACUAAUAAGUAGGUAGUGAACUAAUUCCUAAAGGUAUUACUGAUACCCUUUAGUAAUCAAAACAGUUAUUACUUUGAGGUUAGUUCACUAGAUUCAUUAUUACUAAAAUUAAAUCCCCAUUAUCUAAGUUGCGAGUUCCAUAACCAUACAAUAAACUGGAUAUGGCACGUAACGAGGCCAGUAUCAUUUUAUGACUUUCUCACCCGUAGACCUGUCGGUCCCACUAUAGCUAGCACCAAGGUGCGGGCUAUUCAGUCCCAUAUAGAUCUAUACACAGUAGUCACGUUCUCCCUCCAAGAGAUUCUGGUUACAGGGUUAGUCUUACACUCGCGUAUUCCGGUGGAGUGUUACCAAGGACGUGUCUCCAAUCUUAAGAAUAAUGAGUUUACAAGUAAUAAUAUGGAAAAUCCUGUUUUAUGAAUGGCAUGAAUCCUUUGUAAAAUAUAAAAUAUAACAUUUUAUGAUGACAUUCACAAGUUUCCUUAUUUUAGAUUUGAAAAAUAACUCUACAAGUUAAUUUCUUAAUCGGUUGGUAAAACGGUUUUCUGUGUUAAAAGCAUACUAAACAUGUAAGUAUUUCAUACGAAAUAAUAGGUAUGUAGUACAAAUUCCCUUGUACUUUUGCUUGUAUUCCCCCCUGAAAACAUGAAAAACUCAGAAAAGUAUAGGGUAUGAACUCACCUGACGAGGGUGAUUCGAAUUAACGGACGGUAUAGGAUGCUAGGUGUCACUUGAGGACUUGAACAUAUGUGAGGAUCCUAUGUAACAUGAAGUGAUACAUAUUUGUGUCUAAUUAGUCAUUAAAUAACUAAUUAAGCAAGUAAAUACAUUCUAAUGCAUGAAAACACUUUAUUUCAAGUGUUAGGGGUGAUACGGGUUGCAUCUAAGGAAUGUAUGGCCUCAUUAUGGAGUUUACUCUCCAAAUGGAAGCUCUUAGGGGUGUUUAUGGUUUCAAGACCAUAUCCCCCAUGAGUUUACGGCUGUAAACUCAUGGCUAUGGUGUGUUUGUGUGCUUCAAGGUCUUAUGCUUCACAAAGAAGGGUCCUAGGGUUGAUUCAAAGGCUUAAGAAGUGAUUGGGGCUCCAAAGGACCCUCCUUGGGGUGUUUAUGGUUUUUGAAUGCUUCCUUGGUGAUUUUACGGUCGUAAACACAUGAGUUUACGGCCGUAAACUCAUGUUUUCCACUUUCUUGCAUGAUUUGGUGCUUCUAGGGUAAGCAUACAAAGUUCUAGUCACUUAUACAAGUCAUGGAAGGUGUUAAGGGAAUUUUAACACUCUUAGAAGUUGUUUACGGUUUUGAGAUAUGCCCCAACCGUAAACUCAGUUUUACUCCUCUCAUUCCAUGCUUUGGGGUUCUAAGAUCAUUCACGCAAGUUUCUAGGUCAUUAGCCAAGCAUUGGAAGGGUUUUGGGGCAUCAAAACCCCCUUUUAGGGUGUUUACGGUUUUGGGAUGUUCCCAAACCGUAAACUCUUGAUCUUGGGGUUCUUGGGUGAUUAAUCCACGAAUUUACAAGUAUACUGAGAAAAACAAUAAGCUAGGAGGGUUUACUUACUGUUGUGAAGCUUGAAGGGGCGUUUUUCGAUCGAACCCGAUUUAUAGAGAGAGAGUAGAGAGAGAAAGUUCCUAGAUUGUGAAAAAGGUUGGAAUGAAGUCCACUCAACCAUUAUAUAGGGUUGAGUUUACGGCCAGGGUGGGAUCCACCCAAUACCGACAUCAAACGGAGUUUAUGGUCGUACCCGAUUUAAUGGCCGUAACCUGACUUGGUCGUGAACUUGAAACUUUCUGAAGGAAAUCGAGGGUAUUUCGUGUUAUUGUAUUGCUUUAUUGAUUUGCUUAGCUGAAAAGUUUAAUAGAAAACUUCAAUAAAAAUUAAUUUUAUUAACGGAAGUGGGUUAUAGUGACAGAAUAAAUUUUGGGUUGUCACACUAUACUCCACAGCAAAACGAUGUAGUUGGAAUACGCAACCGAUCCUUUUUUGAAGUAGCCCGAAGCAUGCUCGCUUUUGCAUACCUCUGUAUUUCUGGGCUGACGCUAUCGCCAUUGCUUGCUACACACAGAACCGAUCCUUCCUUAAUAAGCGAUUUUCUAUCAAUCCUUAUGAAAUUCUUAAUAAUCGCAAACCUAAUGCCAAGUUUUUCCAUGUCUUUAGUUCCAGGUGUUUCAUUUUUAAUUCCAAAGAAAACCGAAACAAGUUCGAUGUGAAAGCAGAAGAAGGUAUCUUUUUGGGUUAUUCACUGACCUCCAAGGCAUAUAGGGUUCUCAACAAACUACUAAAGAAAAUAGAAGAAACCUAUUAUGUCACGUUUAACGAUCAUUACGUGAAGAAACUUCAAUCAAGCAGAAAUUCCUUGGAAGAGAUCUUUCCUAAAACAGGUCAAGUCACAGUUCCUAUAUACAAUCUGUUUGAAUAAUACAUGCUGCUCUUUAUUGAAACUGAAAAGGCCAACAACUCUAAAGCAAAGGCAAUCGACAAUAAAGUUGAUGAACUGAAGAAGAUUAGCAAUGAUGCUGAAAGGGAAAUGGUAACCGAAUCUCCAACAUCAACCGGAUCUCCAACAUCAACCGAAUCUCCAGCAUCAACCGAAUCUCCAACAUCAACCAAAUUUCCAACACCACCCGAAUCUCAUGCUUCAAGCAAACCUCCAAAAUUCAACACACCAUUACAGGGGGAGGGUUCGUCUUCAUCAAGUAAACAUGAUUCACCUUUCAAGGGGGAGAACCGAACACCACCAAUGACCCAUGGAAUUCCACUUAAGGGGGAACAUUCUGAACCUGAUGUUGAAACUGUUUCAUCAUUCGAGGGGGAGAAUCAUAAUAUGAAUGAUGAUUCGGAUAUUCAGAAUGAUGACUUGGAUAUUCAAUCAGAAUUUGAAGAGGAAGUGAAUGCCGAACCGGAUCCUGCCUACGAUCCAAACUACCGUCCACUCACUAAAUAGACAAGAGAUCAUCCGAAAAUACAAGUGAUUGGUAAUCAUCCUAGGGAGUCCUUACAUGCUCUCAAAUUAAAGGGAAGCAAACUGAUUUAUUCUCUCAAGUGGAAUAUUGCAUGUUUAAUUUGUUCAUCACCAAAAUAGACCCGGAAAUUGUCAACACUGCACUCGAUCAUUCUGAUUGGGUGCAGGCAAUGCAAGACGAACUCAAUGAGUUUAAGAGAAAUCAGGUCUGGAGAUUGAUUCCUACACCAAAGGAUGCAUUUUUGGUUGGUUUAAAGUGGGUAAUUUGUAACUAGAUGGAUCAAGAAGACAACCUCAUAUGGAAAAAUCAAGGUUGGUUGGUAAGGAAUACUGUCAGGAAGAAGGUACUGAUUAUGAAGAAACCUUUGCUCCAGUAGCAGGAUUAGAAUCGAUGCGGAUCUUUCUGGCAUAUUCAACACAUAAGAAUUUUGAGGUUUAUCAAAUGGAUGUUAAGAGUGCUUUCCUGAAUGGGGAGUUGGAAGAAACCGUGUAUGUUGAACAACCACCAGGUUCGGUUGCUACAUUCUGGACAAGGCUAUGUAUUGUCUAAAGCAAGCACCUAGAGCUUGGUAUGAAACAUUAACUCGCUUUCUAAAAUUGUCUAAAUUUAAACAAGGCUCGGUUGACCCAACCUUCUUAAAGAAGGUGACACUUGAUGAUAGUCCAAAUUUAUGUUGAUGACAUCAAUUUCGAUUCCACGAAUCUCAGUAUAAUAGAUGAUUUCCGAAAGUUGAUGGAGACUACAUUUGAGAUGAGCUCAAUGGGUCCAAUUAACGUUUUCCUUGGCUUGAACAUUAGGCAAGGACCAGAAGGUAUAAUUUUCAAUCAGGAAGCUUACAGAAAGACCUUGCUCGUGAAAUUUGGCAUGACGUGAGAUCCUAGAGUAAAAGUGUCUAUGGCCUUUGGAACGAAAUUAACACCAUCCAUCGAUAGAUCAGCUGCUGAUAUGACUCUCUAUUGACAAAUGAUAGGAUCAUUGAUGUAUCUUACAGCUCGUAGACCAGAUUUCAUGUUUUAUGUGUGUUAUUGUGCUAGAUUUCAAGCUAAUCCACGAGAACCUCACAUGGUGGUAGUCAAGAACAUCCUUCGGUACCUGAAGCGAACCUCGUCUCUCGGUAUAUGGUAUCCCACGAAAUCAGGAUUCUUUGUUCAUGCAUUCUCAGAUGCAGAUCUUGGAGGAUGUGGUAUAGACCGAAAGAGCACAACUAGUGGGUGUCAAUUUCUAGAUGGAAAACUCGUAAGCUGGAAGUCCAAGAAACAACCAUGUGUAUCUUUAUCCACAGCCGAAGCAGAGUAUAUAGCAACUGCAUCUUGUCCUUCUCAGGUCAUCUGGAUUCAAAGUCAAUUAAGACACUAUGGCCUAAACAUGAAGCGAAUUCCCCUAUAUUUUGACUCUGAAAGUGCAAUCCAAAUAUUUCACAAUCCAGUGUAACACUCAAAGAUGAAACACAUAGCACUAAGGUACCACUUUAUCAAAAAAUCAUGUGGAAGAUAGUAACAUCGAAAUUCAUUUCGUACGAUCUGUAGAUCAAUUAGCUGACAUAUUCACAAAAGCAUUUCCUGAAACAACUUUAAUAGAAUACUUCAAGUCUUGGGAAUGAUGGAAGCUGAAUCUAUACCGAAACUAUCUUUUCUUCGAUGAGUAUAACUUUUGCCUUCGCCUCCUUAACAUUUCAACAAGCGAAAUAGAGCGAACGCUCGGUAUAUUUCACUUCAUCUUUCAAAAGGAGAACGUUCAAUUGAAACUUAAUGUAUAAUUUGUGUACAAAAAUAUUUUUCUGUGACAACCCGAUAUUUUAACUCUUUGUAACGACCAAAAUGGGUCAAGUAUUGUAACCACUUCUGAAUAAUAAAAGUUUACUUUCAUAAUAAAAUGUACAAAUAAGUUCUAUUUAAUUUCCUUCUAUGAUUAAAUGUCUUUGAACCAUGAUCGUACGUGAAAAGAACGCCCAAAUCCGACUUCAUAUAGCGAAGUUAUGAUUUUUCCAAGUUCGGCUUAGCAACAGACAGCUAAAAACUCGAAUCGGAGAUCGAGCGACUUUUGGCCGGAAUGACCUAAACGAGAAUCGAGGGUCUCGACAAUGGUAUUCCAGCGGUAAAAAGUCUGGCAAAAACCGACAUCAGAUAAAAAAGUUAUGAAUUUUCAAAGAAAUUCCUUAAACACGAUGGGUUUUUAAUAAAUAAUAAAAAAAUAAUUUCGAAAUUUGCCGACGGAGUCUAAACGAAAGUUGUAGAGCGUAGUCUCACCUACGCGAGGAUAUAAAGACCAUCGAAAACGGAGUUCGUAUGAAGAAGAUAUGAAUUUUUGAAGUUUAUUAAAUAAAUUAAUUAUUUAUUUUAUUCAAAAUUCGGAUAUUAUCCGAAGGGGAGUCAGCGUCCUCAUCCGAGGUACGCGCUGCGUACCCCUGUACGCCCCGCGUAACCGAGAGGAUUGGCCUCUGAUCGUCCACGUCGCGCUAUCCGAAGAAACCGACCCGUCCGACCCGUCCGAAGCCCCGACCCGUCCGACCCGCCGUCCCAUCCGACCCGCGUACCCAGCAACCCGUCCCAUCCGAACCGAGGCAGUCGAGGCUUCGGUCAUGCAUGACGUACGCGUACGCGCUGCGUACGAGCGUACGCCCCGCGUACCGAGGCAGACCAGCCUUACUAUAAAUAGGAUGCGAGGGUUUCCAAAGAAAGGGUUCAUUUCUCUUCUCUCUCUCUCAACUUUGCCUCGUUUUCCGUGUCCGUUCAAACCCGAAGCUCUGGUCUUUUUGGCUCAAGUCCCGAAGGUCGAUUUUACUCCCGAGAUUCCCGAGAAUCCCGAGGAAAAUCCGUUUCCCGAGACGAAACUCUGCCCGGUUUUCCAUCUCGCUAUCUCCAAAACUUUCAAGUGAGUUUCAUACCCCUUAAUCAACCGUUUUAAUUAUUCUAAAUACUUUUAUAUGCUUUCAAGGGGGGGAUUACAAGUAAAACACACGAGUAUUAUCGUGUGUUACAUAAAGAAACUCUUUUAUAUACUGUUAUAUAUUCAAAUCACAUGCGAUUUAUAAACCUUUAAGGAACUUUUAUAUAUAUAUAACAUAUGUUACAAUAGCAUUCUAUCUUUUAAAAUAUAAAGUUGUUGUAAUGCAUGUAUAAACUAAACUGUUCUUAGAUUAUUCUUGUCUAUCUUAGACUCUACACCAAAAAUCUAUGCUUUCAUAAACAAGUGAUUCUUUUUCUAGGUAUUUCUAAACAAACAAGACACACUUUUUGAAAACUAUAAUAGGUAUAGUUUUACGAACAGAUUUCUAACUCUUAUGUACUAGAAACAUAUAUUUCAAGAAGUUUACUUUCGUAUACAAGAACAAACGUAACAUUUUAACAAGUAGAUCUGUUUUUAUACCACGGUUUUGUGAGACACUAACUUCAUGUACGUUCGAGUACACAUUUCAAGUCCUGUAUUAUAUACCAGAAUCCCUUGGAGGGGGAGCAUGGUGUUUGUGUAUAGAUCUAUACGGGCUUGACAACCCGCGCCCUGACUGUUAGCUGCAGUCCACCGUUUGGGGUGACAAACGUCAUAACAUUCCAACGCCUGAAGAACGUUGUGUAUAGGCAUUCAGAGUCAAUAGUAUGGUUAUAAAACUCACAAGGGGUAUUAAAAAUGCAUUGAUUUACAAGGUUUUCAAACUCAUUGGUUAUUUUACAUUUACAUACAUUUUGGAAACAAACAUUGGUCUUGAGUGAAGGCUACUUUUAUACUAGUAGAAAAUAUAGGAUUUUCUAAACACAAACAAACAAAGAUAAAACAUUUCAUUUCAUUCAAACAUUGUCACUUAAAUACUUAUGAAAUUCACCAGCUUAAAUGCUGAUCUACUCUUUCAAAAUUACUUGUAUGUCCCAGGAAAUCAGUAAUUUCAGGUAUUCAUUUUGCUUUUGAUGAAGGGAUGCUGCGGCGCCAGUUUAAUCUCAUAUUUUGACAUCAUAUUGUAAUUGGUUUUGAACAUGUAACUUUUGACAAAUGUAAACUUUCAAUUAUAUAUAUGAUGGUUGUAUUGCUUUCUUUACUAUGUAUUCAUUUGUUACGUUACCACAUGAAGUCAUCCGCCCCCGAACGUUUCCGCCGUUCAGGUUUGGGGGUGUGACAGAUUGGUAUCAGAGCAAUGUUUAUAGUGAACUAAGUAUAUCGAACCACAUAAGAUAUACAAACUAUAAAUGCUUAAGGGACUAAUACUCUCUGACAAAACAAAUUUUCUUUUUACACUUAAACAACAUUUCGUUCAACUUAAAUUGAUAGUUCAUUUAAGUACAAUUACAUGCAUACCACAAACUAUUUUCAUGUUAUACAACUAUACAAGUAUUUAGACAAGUUGACACUACGAUUGAGACUCGAUAUAUGUAAUCAGAUUUUGGACAAAUAUAGCGUGAUCAACUAUAUUUGCCCAAGAUUGGACCAACGUAUAUCGAGGAAUGAUCGUAGUAAGCAACAAGUCAAAACUUACCAAACCAUUACAAGAAUCAAACACAAGAACUUAAAUACUAUAGGAGUAUUUGCUAUCUAAACUAGUUUAACUUACAUGUUUUACAUGUUCCGACUUUAUUCAAUUCUUAUAACCCUAUUUCUCGUACAGUCAAAUGGCUGGAUUUCACCACCCUGGCGACCCCUACUUUCCCAACCAAGGCAACGGAGGAUGGAUCGAAGAUGAUCCCGAAGAGGACGAGGAACCCAUAGAAGUGGGUGAUGACUCCGGUACCGACUCAGAGCCGGAAGUUAUCGAUCCACCACCCAUUCAACCUCCCGUCUUCGUAAGGAACUUUCAAGGACCGACUCCCGUCUGGGGAAGUCACCUCCACCAUUGGAGCCAACAGCAAAACCUACGCCCUCCCUACGGCAUGUGCCGGGACUUCUAUGAUGUCCGCGGCGGAGGUUCGGCUGAUCGAGCACUCCCGGUAAUGGUGGGUAAGUUAGCCAAUCAGUCCUAUCAGUCUGGAGUACAAGCUAGUCGACUCCGGGAUAUCAACGUGGAAGUGCAGGUUCACACUUCUGACAUCCGUAGGCUGGACAAGAUGCAAGACAACGCCCAAUUCCAAGCCGAAGCGUUUCAAGCGCAAAUGAUUGCAGCCCUCGCCGAACUAAGGGAACAACAAGCCGCUUUCGAUAGGCGUCUAAUGGAGUCAAAGCAAUCAGAUACGGAGUCAAGCUCCAAGCGCAACCUUCGACGCAAGUAGUGCUUGUCAAGGACUCAAAUUUUGUUAUAGCUUAGGACCUCGGCUAAAAGUCUUUAAAUUUCUCGAACUUUGUAAUCGGAGACCCUUAUAGGGGUCAAAUUUUCAUGAUCGUUGUAACAACUUUUAUAUUAAUAUAAGUGGCACUAUUACUACUAUGUUAAGUAUUUCGUUCGAACCUUGAAUGGUCUUUGUGAACCCAAAUACUUGUUUCAUACCUUCAGUCUUACAAAUAACUUUCAUUCUUCUAUUUUAAGACUCAUACUAUCAUCUGUUGUUGAACUAUAGCGAUUUAGUUCAUGAGACACAUACAUUUUCCAUUCUAUGAAAUUCUUAUCCUUGUCUUUUCAAUCUAUAGUUGAAGGAUGCCUCCGCGUAGGAAUCCAAGGCGAAACAACGGUGAGGAAGCACCUAUACCACCACCACCUCCACCACCCCAAUUUGAUGCUGUAAUGUUUCAAGCAGCAGUCACCGCAGCGGUGGCAGCUGCCAUGUCACAGAUCAAUAACUCAAGUGCUAAUGGCUCGGGAUCUGGCACACACCCAUCCAACCAUGGCGAGAGUCAUGGACCACCUCGAGAAUGCACCUAUAAGGACUUCACUAAUGCCAAGCCCCGGAUGUUUUAUGGUACUGGUGGUGUGAUGGCCCUGAGGCAGUGGAUUGAAAGGACGGAGGCAGUCUUUGAAAUCUGCUCCUGCCCCGAGCACAGCAAGGUCAAAUUUGCAACUUUCACCCUUCUCGAUAAAGCUUUAACUUGGUGGAAUGGCCACGUUAAAGUACUUACCCUAAUCGUGGCAAACUCCAUAAGCUGGGAGAGCUUGAAGGCCAUGAUGAUGAGAGAAUACUGCCCACGGGGAGAAAUUCAAAAGCUUGAACACGAGCUAUGGACUCUCGGAAUGGUGGGUACCGACAUCGCUACUUAUACCAACAGAUUCUGCGAACUGGCAAUCCUUUGUCCAGAUAUGAUUGCUCCCGAGAGCAAGAAGAUAGAAAGGUACAUCUGGGGACUGACGCCCCAAAUGCGAUCAAGCGUGUUAGCUUCUAAACCUGACACCUUUGAAAGUGCUAAGGAACUGGCACAAUCUCUGAUCGACUACGGAGGUCAUCAGAACUCAACCACUUCUGCACCAGCACCACAGAAAGGAAACAACAACAACAACAACAACAACAACAACAACAACAACAACAACAAUGGCAGGAAGAGAGCGUGGAUUAAAGGGAAGGGUGGGUCUUCCCAAGAAUCCGCAAAGAAACAACUGGUGUCAGUAAAUGCUGCCAUUGUACCUGCUACAGCCCCUACAAAUACCUACCCAACAAAGCCUUAUAUAGGCAACCUCCCAAAAUGCACCAAAUGCAAUUACCACCACCAUGGACCUUGUCGAGAUAUGCAGUGCGCCAACUGCAGCAGGAAAGGACACACAGCCCGUUUCUGCAAGGAACCCGCAAAGCCGAUCACUCAAGUUCCCGGUGCGGGUGUAGGGCAGGCUUGCUACGGUUGUGGCGAGGUGGGCCACUACAAGAGAAACUGUCCUAAGGCAGCAGGCACCGGAGGUGUGGGACGAGUUUUGGCAAUAGGCCACGACGAAGCUGUAGCUGACCCAACUAUAGUUGCUGGUACGUUCCUUCUCGAUAAUUCAUACGCAUGCAUAUUAUUCGAUAGUGGAGCGGAGAGAAGCUUCGUGAGUCAAAACUUUAUUCAUUUACUUAAACCUAAACCUAGCAAGUUAGAAAAAUCAUUCACUAUAGAGAUGGCCAAUGGAAAAACCGAAAACACAAAUUGCAUAUACAUGGGCUGUACGUUAACAUUAGACGGCCAUUCUUUCCCAAUCAAUCUCAUGCCGGUUCAAAUUAAAAGUUUCGACGUCAUAGUCGGCAUGGAUUGGUUGAGUCUUCUUCGCGCCGACAUCAUGUGCUUUGAGAAACCAGUCCGGCUUAACCUCCCUAACAACGAAACAUUAGUUAUCUACAGCGACAAAUCUUGUGCAAACCUUCGCAUCAUUUCGUGCAUCCAAGCUCGAAAGUGCUUGCGGAAGGAUUGUCGAGCAUUCCUAGCGCACAUCGUCGAUACAAGUCAAGAACUGAAGGACAUCAAGAGCAUCUCGGUAGUACGCGACUUUCCCGAUAUCUUUCCAGAAGAACUACCAGGAUUACCACCGCAACGCCAAGUCGAGUUCAGAAUCGACUUAAUUCCAGGAGCUACCCCAGUAGCGAAGUCGCCUUAUCGUCUUGCACCAGCAGAGAUGCAGGAACUUUCCAGUCAACUUAAUGAACUCCUUCACAAAGGAUUCAUAAGACCAAGUUUCUCACCUUGGGGAGCACCGGUCUUGUUUGUAAAGAAGAAAGACGGAUCGUUCCGUAUGUGCAUCGACUACAGAGAGCUGAACAAACUUACUGUCAAGAACCGCUAUCCUCUACCCCGUAUUGACGACCUAUUCGAUCAACUUCAAGGGGCGAACUACUUCUCCAAAAUAGACCUGCGAUCCGGAUAUCACCAAUUACGAGUUCUAGAGGGGGACAUUCCAAAGACAGCCUUCCGAACUCGUUAUGGACACUACGAAUUCGUGGUGAUGCCGUUCGGAUUAACCAAUGCACCAGCAGUAUUUAUGGACCUAAUGAAUAGGGUAUGCCGCCCUUACUUGGAUCAGUUCGUCAUCGUCUUUAUCGAUGAUAUACUUAUCUACUCUCGAAGUGAGGAAGAGCAUAGUCAACACCUACGAAAAGUCCUAGAAACACUGCGAACGGAGAAACUCUAUGCGAAGUUCUCUAAAUGCGAAUUUUGGAUUCGAAGAGUCGAAUUUUUAGGUCACGUUGUUAGCGAGAAAGGUAUACACGUGGACCCCUCCAAAAUUAAGGCUAUUGAGAACUGGUCGGCACCAAAGACACCUACAGAAAUUCGUCAAUUUCUAGGUCUAGCUGGCUACUAUCGCAGAUUCAUAAAGAACUUUUCGAGCAUUGCGAAACCUCUUACUUCAUUAACCCAGAAAGGUGUGGCCUUUGACUGGGAAGCGAAACAAGAGAAGGCAUUCCAGACACUAAAGCAGGCCUUGUGCACCGCACCGAUACUAUCCCUCCCCGAAGGGAUAGAAGACUUCGUAGUGUAUUGCGAUGCUUCAAAUCAAGGACUUGGUUGUGUUCUUAUGCAGAGAGGGAAGGUUAUCGCUUAUGCCUCCCGACAGCUUAAGACACACGAAGUGAACUAUACGACACACGACCUCGAGUUAGGAGCAGUGGUAUUUGCUCUGAAGAUCUGGAGGCACUACUUAUACGGAACAAAGAGUACUAUAUUCACCGAUCACAAGAGCCUUCAACACAUUUUCGAUCAGAAGGAACUCAACAUGCGACAACGACGAUGGGUUGAGUUACUGAAUGACUACGAAUGCGAAAUUCGUUAUCAUCCUGGCAAGGCCAACGUAGUAGCCGACGCCCUCAGUCGAAAGGAAUACACUGGUCGGAGGGUCAAAUCUCUGACCAUGACUAUCCAUUCCCACUUAUCCACACAAAUUAAGGAAGCACAAAUGGAAGCUUUGCAACCUGAAAAUGUGGCGGGUGAAUCCCUGCGAGGAAUGGAGAAGAAUUUAGAAGUCAAGGGUGGCGGAGCCUACUAUCUCAUGGACCGAAUCUGGACCCCAAAUCAUGGUGGUUUCAGAAACGUAGUCAUGACCGAGGCUCACAACUCAAGAUAUUCCGUUCACCCGGGUUCAGAUAAAAUGUAUCUGGAUCUUAAGAAACUGUACUGGUGGCCUAACAUGAAAGCAGAAAUUGCUACCUUCGUGAGUAAAUGUCUUACUUGCGCUAAGGUUAAGGUCGAGUAUCAGAAACCGUCAGGACUACUACAACAACCAGAGAUACCGGAAUGGAAAUGGGAGUGGAUUACUAUGGACUUCAUAACCAAGUUACCCAAGACGACAAGUGGACUCGAUACCAUAUGGGUCAUUGUCGACAGAUUGACCAAAUCCGCACAUUUCCUACCCAUCAAGGAGACUGACAAAAUGGAGAAGCUUACAAGAACUUACUUAAGGGAAGUAGUGCGACUGCAUGGUGUUCCGAUAUCCAUUAUCUCCGAUCGAGAUAGUAGAUUCACUUCAAGAUUCUGGCAGUCACUACAAAGUUCCCUGGGAACCAGGCUAGACAUGAGUACAGCCUACCACCCACAGACAGACGGACAAAGUGAGAGAACAAUACAAACUUUAGAAGACAUGCUGAGAGCCUGCGUGAUUGACUUUGGAAAGGACUGGGAUAUUCAUUUACCCCUUGUCGAAUUUUCAUACAACAAUAGUUAUCAUACAAGCAUAAAGGCUGCUCCGUUUGAAGCCCUCUAUGGUCGAAAGUGCAGAUCCCCUCUGUGCUGGACUGAAGUUGGCGAUACCCAGUUAGCUAGAGGAAGAGUUCCUGAAAGCACUCUCACAGGUCCGGAGAUCAUACGUGAAACAAUAGAGAAGAUCGUUCAGAUUUGUGAACGAUUGAAAGCCUCAAGAGACCGACAGAAAAGCUACGCUGACCAAAGGAGCUGUUCAUCUUCCUCAUCAAGCUUCAACAAUGGUUGAAUCAUCUUCAAUUCAAGAACACACUGCUCAAUUCACUUUCCUCACGAUCAAACCCAAUACGAACCUGAUCAUUGAUUUGACGGCUUUCAAGUAUGAUUCAUUCAUACUAAUGAUCAUCGAAUGCCUGAAAUAUUCGCCAUUGUUAAUCGCUUUAACCAAAUUAAUGUUGUUCCUAUGUCACUCCUAUCACAAGUCUACUCUUUAGCGAAGUAUGUCAAGGAGAACGAACACAUUAUGUUCGAGAUUUUCAAUAAGAAAACAUUCGUCUCUAAAUUAAGGUUUUGCUCUCCGUUAGGGCUACUUCAUGAGGCAUCAAUGGUGAAUCCUGACUCGAUUUCUAAAGCUCAGCUCUUUGAAAUGUUCUGCAACAUGGGGUAUACUGAUCUUCUCUCUACUAUCACAAAGUUCAAGAAGUCUUGCCUUCCUCCUCAAUAGAAUGGGUUGUCUACCCUGCUCUUCAAAAGUUUUUCUAAAUGAAGUGCUGGAUAUGAUGGUGCUAGCAAAGCUUUUCUGCCAUUCUUUAUGGUUUAUACCAUGGCGUCAAUCUCGAUUAUGGGUCUAUUCUCUAGACUCAACUGGUUCAAAUCUUGAGUUCUUCUUCUCGUCACACUGAGAUUUCAUGUGGGAGAUUCUGGACCAUUAUUACUCAAUGGGUUAUGGAGAAAUUUUGAGUUCCUGUUAUGGCAGAUUCUUUAAUGUAUUCUAUUUCUACUUUCCACACCACAUAUAUUAUUCUCUCAGACUUCUCCAAAUUCGCUUUUGUUGGGACAAUUCCUGAGUCAAUGUACAGAUGUGUUUCAGAUGCAAGCAAAUUCAUUACUGAAUACAAGAAACUUCCAGCUUCGGGUCCAAGACCCCUUACUUCAGAGAUGCAAACCUCCAUUGAUGAAGCUGACAAGCCAAAGAAAGGAUGUAAGAAUAAGGAUAAGAGAAAGUAGAUUCAAGAUGGACCCUCAUCUAAUCUUGUCACUCCUAAGAAGCGAAAGGGUUCAAAAGCAGAACCUUCGGCUCCUAAGAAGCGCAAAAUAAAGAAGAUUGCACACAAGCUGAAAUCUCCAUCAUCCAAUGAUAGUGAAUAUGUUCCAUCUUAUCAAGAUAAUGUGGUUAUACUCGAAACAAAGCAAGAACAUUCUGAGUAUUCGGUUCAUGAAGACUUACCCAAUGUAAUACAUACUAACACUAUUCCGUCUCCACCUCCUUCUCCUCCUCAUACUACUGUUCCAAUCACUAUUGCUCCAAGCCCUCCUCCAACUCCUACUUCUACACCAUUACCCCCACCAAUAUUCACCGAAACAACCACCGCUACCACUAAUACCGAACCUCCACUUCAUGUCAAUGCAUCUGAUGUAGGGGCACAAACUUCAGGUGUUGAAACCCCCAAUUACUUAACAACCAUUGUCUCCAACUAACUAUGCUAAUUCUAAAACCAUUCAUUGUGGAAAUGGUAUGGAUUUUGAUACCUUCCAUUUUAGCCCCUACACUAUUCAGAGUGAUGAUGAUGAUGACGCUCUAGUUACCAAAAGUCAAAUCAAAGCUAUGAAUGAGAAGCUUGAUACUCUACUCGCCUCUUCAUCUCAAUCCUCCACAUCAGCCUACUCCGAAGCUAUUGUUCAAGCUCUGGUCGCUAUACUAGUUAAGUAACAUGAUACCUCUAUUGAGAAAGCAACAAAGGGUAUUGAUGCUUCCACAGAGUCUUGCAAGAAAGCGAUCGAAAAUGUCGAAAAACUAAUUUCUAAUGCUAAACUAUUUUUGGAGUCUCUACAAGCUGCAUCAGAUAAAAAUGCAAACAUUGUCAAUGCCACAGUCGAGAACCUUUCCGCUUCCCUACAAGCCUUAGAAGAGAAAUUUAAACAUGUUCUCCAAUGAAUUCAAACCGAUCAUAUGACGCUUCAAUCAUGUAUCAACUCUCGCCUUGACAAACUCCAAGCUGACUUAGCCUUAGUAAAUAAAGUUAUGGAUGAACUUGCUUGACAAACUACUCUGCUCAAAAAACAAUAUGUCUUGCUCACCCAAACGAACAAGGAAAUUAUUGAUCUAAAGUCUGAGCAACAACAGUAAAACGCUAUGUUGGUCAUGUCCAUGCUAUAUGUUCCAAUCUGCUGGAGGCCCAUGAUAUGGUUUUAACUAUCACUAUCAGGAGGUGUUUGGCUGAAAAACUACGUACUGCAUUUUUCAUGCUAAAUAGGAUUGAAGGUGUUUCGACAGGAAAGUGUCCCUCCAAAACAAGGGGGAGAAGCAAGUCAUGUUCCACCACAACAACCUCCCACAAGUAAAACUCCAACAAAUGAAACUUCUUAACCACCUCCAGUUAAACCCAUUGUCACUAAUGAACCGAAGGGUAACGAAGCUUCCGGUUCAAAGGUGCAAGAUAAACGAAAGAAGAUUGUUGGCAAACAUGAAAAAGAAGAUGAAACCAAAUAAGAGACAUUAAAGCGAAAACGUCGUGACCGAGAGCUUGAUGAAAAUGCUUGGAUCGCGAAAGAAGAAGAAGAGAGGGAACGUAAAGAAAAAGAAGCCCAUGACACUUCGGAAAGUAGAAAAACUCUCUUUCCAUUGUGGACUUUGGAAAAGUUGCUGAAGGAAGCAAUCGAGUCUCCAAGCACUCAUUGGCUUGAGCCAGUCACUUCUUUUGACUCUGAGAAUUCUAAAGACUCACAUUUUGAUUUGUCAAUCACCCGAAGGGCAUUUAUUUUUCACUAUUUCGAGUCGAUUGCCUGUAAUCCCUCACCAGACCCGAAGGUUUAUAGAGAGCUGAUUAAUUAUUAUCUUGCUUUCACGCAACCUUAAUACCUGACUUGGAGUUCAUAGAAAAUUACCAUUGUAAAGGUAUUGAAGCCAGCUAGCACAGGGAACUUCAUAAAUGGGAAUUUUCGGGUCACUCACGGUUCUGAAGAUUAAGUUCAUGAGAUUUCUCUUUCCGACCUACCGAAUCUCAAUCCUCAUGAUUGGAUUGUAUUUACGAACUAUUUACUAACUAAUGAGCAGAAACACGAACCCAUUCUUUCCUUAUAUCAAGCGAAUGUUGGUUUCGUACAUACACGAAGUAGCCGGUGAUGUGAAUGAAAUGUGUAUGGGCCAGAUUGACACCGAAUACUGGACGGUGAUGUUUACUAAAGGAUCUAAUCCUCUGUUGAAAUGACGUUUUAACUUACCCGACAAACAUUUGUUUUCCACUAUCUGUCUUGAACAUAUCCUGGAUAUAAUUAACAUAUCUAAAUCCAAUGAUGCUGCUGAAAAAGAAGAACUUCAAUAACAUGCUUCGGUGGCACAUCAAAUUUCGUUGCACUAUUCUUUCUAUCAUACCAAAACUGUUCAAAAUAGUAAAGAAGACAACUCUUGCACUAAAGUAGUGAUCUCUCUUCUAUUGACCCGUAGGGGGGUAAUGCUGGGUAUAGAAGAUUGUGUCAUUGGGCUUAUUAAGUUAGUCCAUUUUGUAUACGGUAUUGGGCCUGUCCAACCGUGUAUCAUUUAUUAGGGUUUACUUCAUAUAAUGCAUGCAUGCACCGUAGUAUGUAUGCUGAUAGAAGUUAAUUUUCUGAUUGAUUACUUUCUAACCCUAGCACAACCUCUAAAGUAGCAGUUCUUCAUAGAGCUCUUCUGAGGUUGUGGAUUAUUAAUCAUUUGACAUCAUUCUUGAAUUAUCUUGUGUUCUUAUUUAAUUUACAUUCUUGGAUUUCUUGUUAAGAAUCUAUUCGAACUUAUAGUUCUUUAAGUUUCACCAAUAUCUCAUAAAUAUAUCAUAACACAAAAGUAAGGGUGUUUUGGGAAAUCACCGCUUAGGAUAUGGUUGAUUUUACACACUACUCCAACUCGUUUUCUCUUAAACUCUUUCUCAUUUUAGAAGAAUUAUCUCUUUUCAAAAAAUUUCUCAAAUCCUCAGUUUGAGUCCAAACACAUCCGGAUCCCUCAAACCAAGGCUCUGAUACCAACUUGAAACGGUGUAAAUUAUCAAACUAAGUUUUUGAAUUUUCAAACACAAUAAAACACAUGUCACAUUUUCUCAAAAGUCUCAAAUAUAAAUUUUACAACACAUAUUUCAAAAAUUGUUUUUUGCAAAUCAAAGAUCCUCUAAAAUCAUAUCUCUAAUGCGGGUGUGUGUAUAAUCAAGUCGGUGACUUCCCGCGAUCUUGAGACGUACCACGAAGCUUAGAGAGUUCCCCAAAAUACCACAUACACAAAUAAUUAGCCUCUCAUGGCUACAACUAGGAAUGGACCCUCCGGUAUCAUGCGUCUCGGAGAGGAGCCUCCAGUCUCAUGGCUCGGUAUGGACCCUCUAGUCCUGUCUCACAGUGGGACCCUCCAGUCCUACAGCUCGGGUGAACCCUCCGAUCCUAGCUUGGGUGGACCCUCCGGUCCUACUCAGUAAGCUUAGAAUAAUACACAACAUAAAUCGCAUAGACAUAAUGCAAGAUAUCACAGUACUCAAAUAAGCACAUAGUACCCUUUGGUAACAUAACUUAGAUUACCACUCUUGGUAUGUAUAGUGGGAAGACUUACCUUGUAACCAACCAAUUAAAAAUCUCGUACUCGGAAAUCUCGAACUAGCCUCCGCCUAACACAUAGCAUAAUUAUCUCUAAUUAAUACUCUACUCAUACUCAAAUUAUACCAACGGUGGUUCUCUCUCUCUCUCUCUCUCUCUCUCUCUCUCUCUCGCUCUCUAAUUCUUGGAAAGGGAAAAAGACCAUUUCACCCCUCCAUGGUCACCAUUACUCAUAUUUGACCAAACCCUAAAGUCAACAGAUGUCAAACUCGAGUCAACAGUCCAUGUUUGACUCGAAUCGCCGAGUGCACCCACGUGACUCGUCAAGUACACUCAUUUUCCUCAGAAGUCUCAUGAAUGUCCAACUCAGCUCCUCGAGUUGACCCCCAAGUCGCUGAGUUAUCGCAUGAUCAUGCUCAUCGGGACAAACCCUAACCGACUCGUUGAGUUGGCUCAUCGACUCGGCGAGUUCAUUUAAACUCAUUUUUCAUUCAUACAAUUUCAAGGCAGAAAACCUUCCCAAACCCUAAAUCUAAACUCUCAAGGCUCGUUUAUCACAUAAAGCCACGAGCUUUACGUCCAUGGAUCCCACUUACGGCUUAAAAUGCAAAGAACAUGCUCUAUUAAGGGGUUUUCACUCAAGUGCUCGAUUAUGGAUAAAUAAAGCAGUGACCUUUCGACUCUAGGGGCCUCACAAGGUUCAGAUCUGAAGUCCAAAACUCUAUAUGAACUAAAUACACUCAAAGUCCGAAUAUUAGAUGGAAAAAGCCCUAAACUCCAUAAUCAUGAGAUCUACCCAAUAAAAUGAGAAAGGUGUGGACUUUUUACCUUUCACGGAAGCUCUUGGAUGGAAUAGCCACAUAUCUAAUAGUCCCUUCUCAUCCCAUGGCGUGGAAUCCUUCCCUUCUCUUCAAAAGUUGCACCAAAUACUCAAUGUUAGCUCAAAUACUAUCUUUUAGCUCAAUGGACGAUUAGGGUUUUCUCUCAGUAAAGUUGGGAAACUGGUGAGAUGGAAAUGAGGCUAUAAGUGUUCUUAAAUAGGCCCCAAACCUGGGGCUUUAGGGUUUCAUCACUCAUUGUCUACUCAGCGAGUCGACUCUCUGACUCGUCGAGUAGGUCACUAAUCCCACGUGGCCAAGCACGACUCUACUCAACGAGUUGUAGCUGCAACUCGUCGAGUUGCUCAAUAGUCCUCAAAAUGAAUAAAUAAAUAAUAUACCUGGGAGUCCGGAUGUUACAUCAUGGUGUUAAUCAGGUGCUCUAUUGUUAUGGGUGACGGUUGCCAUUGAGUGACAAUUGUUAUCGAUGUGGUUCCAGUGAUUGGACCUAAUGCUUGUGUUGUUGGCGUGUGGGUGCAGGUUUGUCUGUAUGAUGUAGAUGGUUGUGUGCCAUCGAGCAGCAACAUUAAUCUGACUAGAAUCAUUUCUCCUACACCAGACGUCAUAGGUUCCUUUCCCAACAUCUCUGUCGUCUAGAGUUGUCUCAAGGUUAUGUAAAUCUGAGUACACGCCUAGUUAGUGCCAAAUAUUGUGAUAUUUCUCUCAAGAUUAACAUCGUCCCAGAAUAGCUUCGCCUAGGUUAAGCCUGUGAAUCACAACAAAGAAAGAAGUCACGUCAGCCAUCGUCUAGGAGGAGGUCUCUAUGAAACAAGUACGCUGGGCAUACUCCUUCGGUACGCUAGGCAUACUCCCUUGGACAUACCUCAAAGUUUGUGCCCUAAACUUAAAAAAUUCAUAACUUUCACAUACGAACUCCAUUUUUGAUGUUCUUUAUGUCAAUGUAAAGGUAGGACUAUACUCUACAACUUUUGUUUAAACCCCGUCGGCUAAUUUUGACUUUAUUUUUAAAGUUAUAUUUUUAACAGGCCUGGACAGGAAAAGUCUGUUAAAAAUUCAUAACUUCUUCAUUUGACGUCCGUUUUUGUUUGUCUUUUUACCGUUGAACUACUAUCAACAAGAUCUUCAAUUCUUGUUUUGGCUAAAAAAUUACUUGAUCUAAAAUUCGAGAUUUAGGAUGCAUACUAUUAUGCCAAAUCUUAGAAAAUUCAGAACUUCCUCAUACGAAGUCAGAUUUGGACAUUUUUUUUAUUCACACUCUCUAUUUAACGUAAACUAAGACUUUCAUUUAGCUCGUUAAGGCUAAAAAGCACUUUAUUGUAAAUUCACUUUCUAUGCCACACAACGUUGUACCAGUUCUAUCGCAAAACUUCGACAUGUCAUAGCUUCUUCGUUAUAACUCGGAUUUCGGUACUCUUUAUGUCUCCAGAAUCCUUGUUUCAACCACUAAAACUUCAUUUUUACAUAUUGAGAUUAUCUAAUAUUUAUUUUUGAUGUUUAUUUUUACUAUCCUUAAUUCAUUAAAUAAUAAUUAAGUAAAUAUGCACAUAAUUCACAUAAUAUUCACAUAAUUCCUCUUUGUUACUUUAAAACGAGUUACAAAGGUUAACCUAGUCUAUUACAUUAUCUAUAGUGCUUAGCCCAAAAGCACGGGCGUUGCAAUUCUCUCCCCCUUAGGAUGAUUAUGUCCUUGGAAUCACACAUCAACAAACAAAUGUGCAUAGCAACUCAUCAUGUCACUCUAUAUUUCCCAGGUGAGAUUUGGCUCAUUCGCAUGUUUGCAUCGCACAAGCACUAAUUCGUCCAUCUUCCGUCGCAACUUCUUACUCUUACGGUCAACGAUUGCCUCUGGUUCUUCUAUUAACCUAUUGCUUUCAUCCAAAUCUAAUUCAGAAAUUAGAAUUAUGUCGAGAACAUCUCCCCUGAACUUCCUGAAAUAACACACAUUGAAAGUGUUAUGAAUAUCAUCUAGUUCUUCUGGUAGUUCUAGCUUGUAAGCUUGGUACCCAAUCUUUUGAAUAACUUUAAAUGGUCUAAUAAACCUUGGACUCAACAUUCCUCUUUUAAUGAAUCUUAUAAGUCCCUUCAACGGUGAGACUUUAAGUAAAACCAAAUCACGAACUUCAAAUGUUAUCGGUUUUCUUUUCUUGUCAGCAUAGCUCUUUUGACGAUCCUAAGUUGAUAACGUCCUUUCCCUAAUAACUUUUAACUUUUCAGCAGUCUGAUGAACUAUCUCGGGUCCUAUAAACUGUUUUUCUUCAGCUUCAAGCCAACAUGAUGGCGUUCGACACUUUUGUCCAUGCAAAGCUUGAUAAGGUGCCAUCUUGAUGCUUGAGUGGAAACUAUUAUUGUAGGAAAAUUCUACCAAAGGUAAAUGCUCAUCCCAAUUACCUUGGAAUUCCAGGGUACAUGCUCUUAGCAUAUCCUCCAAUGUUUGAAUCGUUUGUUUGGUCUGACCAUCAGUUUGCAGAUGGUAAGCUACUUAAACACAAUUCUGUACCCAAUUCCUCUUGUAGACUUCUCCAAAACCUUGGCGUGAAACGACUAUCACGAUCUGAUACAAUCGUUAAAGGAACAUCGUGAAGUCUCACUAUCUCAUUUAUGUAAGUAUUUGCAAGCUUAUCUAUAGAUCACUUCUCACUGGUUGCUAUGAAAUGUGCACUUUUUUGUAAAUUGAUCAACGACCACCCAAAUCAUGUCGUGACCGCUUUUCGUUAUGGGCUGUUUAGUUACAAAAUCCAUGGUGAUGCCUUCCUAUUUACCCAUGGGUACAGGUAAAGGUUCUAAACUCCCAUAUGGUUUCUGAUGUUGUGCCUUAACCCUCGCACAAGUGACACAUAUGGCCACAUACUUUGCAACAUCGAGGUUCAUCGUCGGCCACCAGGAGUAGGGUUUUAGAUCCCUAUACAUUUUUGUGCUACCGGGAAGAAUUAAGUACAUGGUCUUUUGAGCUUCCUCCAUUAGAAGAUCUCUUAUUCCUCCUGCUUUAGGUACCCAAAUCCUAUCUUGGAAUACCUUCAGUCAUUGACCGUUUAUAUCGAACACUAACAUUUUGCCCAAACGUUCUUCUUUUCGGCGUUCUUCUCUAAAUCUUCUAUCUUAAGCUUUCAUAAUGCUUUCUACAAUCGUUGAGACAACUUUAACUCUCAACGCUUUUAGCCUUUUCUUUUCAAGGUGUACCUUCUAACUAAUAGCAUCAACGACAUCAUUUGCUUUACCAGGGUGGUAAAGUAUCUCACAGUCAUAAUCCUUGAGUAACUCUAGCCAGCGUCGUUGCCCCAUGUUAAAUUCUUUCUGAUUAAAGAGAUACUAAAGACUCUUAUAAAAAGUGAAAAAUUUACAUUUUGUUCCAUAAAGAUAAUGCCUCCAUAUCUUUAGAGAAAAUACUACCACUGCCAACUGCAGAUCAUGUGUAGGGUAGUUAUUUUCAUGUUCUUUCAAUUGUCUCGAUGCAUAUGCUAUCACCUUAUCCUUUUGGGUCAGAACACAACCUAACCCAACUCUAGAUGCAUCGUUAUAAGAUGCAAAGUCUUGAACUCCUUCGGGAAAAGAAAGAAUCGGUGCUUCACAUAAUUUCUUCUUUAACUUCUCAAAGGCUUCCUUAUGCUUUUCACUCCAAGUAUAAGUAGGUCCUCUGUGGGUUAAAGUUUUCAAUGGAGUAGCUAUCAAAGAAAAGCGUUGGAUAAAUCUUCGAUAAUAUCCAACUAAUCCAAGAAAGCUUCGGAUCUCCGUAGGAUUCUUUGGUUGUUCCCACUUUGUUAUAGCUUCAAUCUUAGCUGGUCAACCAUAAUCCCUUUUUGGUUAACCACAUGACCCAAAAAUUGGACUUAUUGAAUCCAAAAAUCACAUUUGGAGAACUUGGCAUACAACUCCUCCUUGUUUAAUACUUUUAACACUUCUCGCAAGUGCAUGUCUUCCUGGUUUUUCGAGUAAAUCAGAAUGUCAUCUAUGAACACUAUCAUGGAUGUAUCGAGGAAUGGUUUAUAAACCCUUUUCAUCAAAUCCAUGAAGGCUGUUAGAGCAUUGGUUAGUCCAAAUGACAUAACCAAUAACUUGCAGUGUCCAUAUCUGGUUAUAAAUGUAGUCUUUUCAAUAUCCUACUCUCUUACUUUUAGCUGAUGGUAUCCUGACCUAAGAUCGAUCUUCGAGAAAUAACUCGAACCUUGUAACUGAUCAAACAGGUCAUCAAUUCUUGGCAACGGGUACUUGUUCUUUAUUGUUUCCUUAUUAAGCUCUCUGUAAUCUAUGUACAUUCUCAUGCUCCCAUCUUUCUUCUUCACGAAUAACACUGGAGCUCCCCAGGGUGAUGAACUAGGUCUAAUGAAACGGUUGUCCAAUAACUCCUGAAGUUGCAUCAUAAGCUCCUUCAUCGCCGUCGAUGCUAAUCGAUAUGGUGCUUUUGCUAUUGGUGUUGUUCCUGGUAACAAGUCUAUUCUGAACUCUACUUGUCUAUUAGGGUGAUCCAGGAAGAUUUUCGGGAAAAACUUCCAGAUAGUCACACAUCACUGGUAUGCUUUGCAUUUCCUUAUGUUCCUUCUUGGCAUCGAUCAUGAAAGCAAAGAAUGAUGUACAACCUUUAGACAAAUAUUUUUUGGCUUUCAUCAGGGAAAUGAUUCCAAAAUUCACUCUGUGUUUGUCUUCGUACACCAUAAAUGAUUCUUUUCCAGGUGGUUUACCCUCACCAUCUUUUUCUUGCAUAGUAUUUUGGCAUCAUUGGCACUAAGCCAAUCUAUCCCCAUAAUGAUAUCAAAACCAUUUAACUCGAUGGGUAACAACUUCUCAUGGAAUUCGUUUCCAUUUAAGUUGAUGACAAUGUUCUUGUAACACCCGGUCUUAGGUACGCAUUUAAAUUCAAAGCAACUUCAUAUUUACCCAUGGACUUGACAAGUUGAAGGCCCAACUUGUCGAGUAGGAUUGACUCUGGGCCGAGGGAUUAAGUAACCGACUAGACAAGUCGGAAGGCCAACUCGGCGAGUAGGAGUUGUCUAAGUGAAACCCUAAAUUGGAGGGUUUGCACCCUAUUUAAACAACUUAUGAGUCUUCCACCCUAGCCUCCAUCACCUCUAGAGCAUUAAUCCUGAAACCCUAAUCCUUGAUAAGUGAACUUUAGCAUUCUUGGUUGUUUUGAGUGUUAUUUGGUGCAUCUUGAAGCUAGUGGAAGAAGAAGAAGAUAGAAGACUCAAGGAAGAAGGAGUAAAUCUAGGAACUACACUCCAUUUGCCAUCUUUUUUGGUAAUCAAGCUUCAAACUUGAUCAUCUUUCUCUUAGGUCUAUUUAUCCCCAUAUUGAGAAGGUUUUGGCUCAAAAAACUUAAUCCUUGGUGUUGGAACAUCCCAACUGGUUCAUAUCUCAGAUCUAGGCUCUAGGGAGAGUUACAAGGAAUAAAGAUGCAAGCUUUAUGGCCAUGGUAGCCCCAUGCAUAUUAUAGACCUCAUUUUUGGGUCUUUUAAGGUUAUAGUCCCAUGUAUGGACGUAAAGUUCAUGACUUUACGUGUUAUAUCGACCUUAAGAGCCCGGAUCUACCCUUUGGAUGAAAUUAGCACAACAGAAAUUGAUAUAUGGGCAUGAACAUUAGUCAACUCGGUGAGUCGUUCUUAGGAAUCGACGAGUCGGGGGUUUGGUUCCCCAACAUUUGCUUAUUCGAAGGGACCUAUUUGAGUCCAGACAGUAUUUAGAUGUGUAACAUGUUGGAUUAGUGUCUAAGUCCAUAACUAUUUUGGUAUGUACUUGACCCGAUGGUGCAUGGUCCUUUUGGGUUGCCUUCACCAAAGCAACUUGAUAGGAUGAAUUAUGGAGAGAAAGGAUUAAAUAUGAUUUAUUAAUAUAUUAUGAGAAUAAUAUAUUAAAUGAGAAAUCAUAUUGUUAAUUAAUAAUAGUCAAUAAUUAAUUGGUAAUUAGUUUUGUGACUAAAAGAGAUUAAUUAAACUUAAGGGACUGGAAUUGUAAUUAUAAGAUAAUUGCAAUAUGGGCUAUGGAUUGCCUUAAAUUAAGGAUUGGACGAAUUCUAUGGGAAACCCAUGGGGAAAUCAUCCAAGGCCUUAAGGAAAGGGAUCCAUGGGUUGCUUAGGGCUUAAGCAUCCAAAUUAGGGUUUCCUUGUAAGAUAACCCUAAUAGCCUCACUAUAUAUAGAUCCCUUAUGCCUCAAAAACGUGGCUAUGACUCCUUCUAGGGUUUGUAAACGUUUUAGGGCAGCCUUCUUCCUCUCUCCUCUUCAUCCUCUUGCUUAUGGUGUUUGUGAACCAUUAGAGGAGUGACAUUUGUGACUCUAAGCUUUCUAAAGUCAAUACAAGGAGAUUUGGGAUUGUUAUUACUACAUAACAAUCAAGGUAACAUCUUAAACCUAUUCUUAUGUUAAUAUGAUUACUUGUAUGCUAGAAUUAGGGUUUAUAGUCUUGGAUAACUUGCAUGUACAAUAGAGAAACCUAGAUCCAAGCAUUAGGGUUUGUAUGAGCACAUAGGAUGUUCUUANNNNNNNNNNNNNNNNNNNNNNNNNNNNNNNNNNNNNNNNNNNNNNNNNNNNNNNNNNNNNNNNNNNNNNNNNNNNNNNNNNNNNNNNNNNNNNNNNNNNNNNNNNNNNNNNNNNNNNNNNNNNNNNNNNNNNNNNNNNNNNNNNNNNNNNNNNNNNNNNNNNNNNNNNNNNNNNNNNNNNNNNNNNNNNNNNNNNNNNNNNNNNNNNNNNNNNNNNNNNNNNNNNNNNNNNNNNNNNNNNNNNNNNNNNNNNNNNNNNNNNNNNNNNNNNNNNNNNNNNNNNNNNNNNNNNNNNNNNNNNNNNNNNNNNNNNNNNNNNNNNNNNNNNNNNNNNNNNNNNNNNNNNNNNNNNNNNNNNNNNNNNNNNNNNNNNNNNNNNNNNNNNNNNNNNNNNNNNNNNNNNNNNNNNNNNNNNNNNNNNNNNNNNNNNNNNNNNNNNNNNNNNNNNNNNNNNNNNNNNNNNNNNNNNNNNNNNNNNNNNNNNNNNNNNNNNNNNNNNNNNNNNNNNNNNNNNNNNNNNNNNNNNNNNNNNNNNNNNNNNNNNNNNNNNNNNNNNNNNNNNNNNNNNNNNNNNNNNNNNNNNNNAAAUUCCCAAUCUUAGUUACUUAGGCAAAAGUGAAUUGAUGCAAUUCCAUGAAAUUACACUUUGUGCCCUUGCGAAGACGUUAGUGGAGCGUGUGUGGUUUACUGGCACACUAAAUGGUUCUAACCAUCGUAGCAAAGCGUGACUCAAUGUUUGUCAUAAUUCGGUGGAGUGUGUGUGGUUUACCAGCACAUAGAAUAGGUGACUGUAACAUGUGGGGGCACCAUGUAAGUUUGCAUGGUUAUUCACACCCGCUUUGUGAUCCUCGGCAUCCCAGUCACAAACAAGAGGGGCAUAUCGAGAUUUAAACAUGCCAUUGAAAUGUUCAAUGAAUCUCAAAGGAUCUAGGAGUUUUCAUAGAUUUAAAACUUAAAUUUCCUUUUCGUUUUUCAUGGUGGAAAUUAGUGAAUCGUCAUUCACUUACCUUCAAAUAUUCUGCAACUAGAUUACGACAUCCCUUUUCUAGGUUGUAGCAUAUUGUGUUGGGUCCUAGCCUUAGUAUCUCAUUUGGGUGAUUUACUAAGGACUCAAUCAAUCAACUAACUUGAAUUCGUUUUCUCCCGUUUUGUAGAUGUCAAAGUUUGACAACUAUGGUCUUCUCAAAUCCCGUGGAACAAGCAUUCCACAUGAAGAUGAUAUUCCACGAUUCGAUCGAGGAACAAGAGAUCAUGCUUCACUUCCUCCACCUCCUCAAAUUAUUCUCCCUAACCCACAAGUUCAAAGGCUUGAAAAGUUCAAGAUCACUCAAGCCCUUUUGGCAAGUAAACAUAAAGAAGGAAAGUCGGUGUGUGCACACGUCCUAGGGAUGAAGUCACACAUUGAUAGGUUAAGAAUGUUGAGAUUCGUUGUCUGUAAGGAAAUGGCUAUUGAUUGGUUCUUCAGUGACUUCCUAACUCAUAUAGUGAGUUCGUAAGAGAGUACUAUAUGAUGAACCGCGACGUGACCCUUAUAGAUCUCACCUAUAUGCUUAUUGCUGCUGAAUCAGCAAUGGUUUGGCGCAAUAGAAAAGCAAAGUUGAUUGGUGAAUCUGCCUUCAAGACCUCUAUGGAUAUAGACAAUGGCAACGAAAGACAUGCUAUGAUCGAAAAGUUUGAUCAUAAGAGAAAGGCAAUGUCUGAAGUAGUUCCAUGUCCUGUUCCAAAAGAGUCAAUUUGCUUUUAUUGCCAAGAGAAAGGGCAUUGGAGACGAAGCUGCCCCAUUUACCUAAGAGAUCUAAGAGAUGGGAGAGUCGAAACGUAUGGCUCUAAUAUAGGUAAAAUCCAUUAACUAACUCUUUUAAGCUUCUAUUCUAGAUUCUUAAUACAUAAUGUGAUAAGAUUACAAUUGAUGUUUUGUAGGAUCGAAGAAAAGAAAGGAAGCUUAAGGGAAGAAGUGAGCAGAAUCUAACCGUGAAGGUAUGGAUUUCGACCGCAUUUCUCGAAGAUUAGAUUCUUGAGCUACUACUUAGAGUUAGAAUUAGAUUGCUAAGAAAGAUGUAUUAGCAUAGUUUUUCAAUGAAUUGCAUUGUAAGGAAAAUUUUUUCCACAAUAAAAUAAAUUUUAUAUUUAUAUUAUUUAUUUAUCCUUGCAAUGGCGUAUAUGAAAAAUUGAUGUUUGAAUGUUUCUAUUAUUAGCAAUAAUGGAUUUGGUUCUUAUUAUGUUAUUUAUGGAAAGUCGAGAGUUUACCAAAUAGGGAGAGUUUCUCAUCGCCCAAGUUUCAAUUGGACAGAAACUUGGAAUCAUGCAACUUGGUUGCACGAUGAAUGAGAAAUUUCAUAUUUGGAAAUUAGACUAAUUCAUUGACAAAGUGUCAAGUGAAGGACUAGGAGAUCGAGUACACAAAGUUGCGUGUUGAUCAAGUCCACCAUAAGAGUAACAAGAUAUUCGUCAUGAUUUACUAAAGGUUUAGUAAAUAUGAUUAUACUUAUAAGAUUAAGUGUAAUUCUGAAUUGAUUGAAAAGGUUUAAAUCAAUAGCAGAACGAAUAAGAAGAAUCAAGUAGGCAGAAAGAUAAAAGUUUCUCCAUUCUAAGAAGAAGGGAGAGUACCUUUUAUGCUUUAUGAUAGGUCUUAAUGAUUAAGAACCAUAUCUCAAUUGAUCCUCUAAGUGAGUCUUAGUACAAUUGUAUGUCUAAGAAGAGGAAUCAAGAAUUGAAGAAAUGGUUAAAUCAAGAAGUCAAUCAUACUUCGUUCCAAAACAAGUCUUAGAGUUAAGAUUGUGAAAUUGAGUGAUAAGUAUUAAGAAGGUUUAUAACAUUCAUCAAAUGUGGAAAGUUGUGAUGUCUUGGAUAAGACAAAGACCAACUAGGACCAAUUUAUGAAGUGUUUUGAUAAAAGCUACACUAACUCUUGAAUAUUUGUUUGUCAAGAAAUGGUUAUUGACAAGAGAAUCUUAUAUGUCAAGGAGUCAGUGGGAGUCUUAAUGGUCUUGAAAGGUUUCAAGAACAAAUCAAAUAAACCUUAUCGAUCAUCACUAGCACACGAGUUGAGGUUUACAACCUAUCGUGUUGACAUUAUUUUGUUUCUGUGCCAAUCCAAUCGAGUUAAUUAUGCAUGUGAGUUCUAUGAGUUCUCAUUUUGAACGCAUAAAAGGCAAAGCACCUUAAUCAAUGAAAGGUACAUUGAUAGGAAAGGGUGAGCUGCUUAACUACUUGGAAGACAUGGUGGGCAGCUGUGCUACCAUAAGGCAAGAAAUCAAGAUUAAGAAAGUUCGGUCCAUAUGAGUUUGAAUUUGUCGUAAACUUUGGUUUUAACAAAUUCACAUGGAUAGGAACACAUACACCGUUUAAAUCUAAGUGUCAUAAGAUUUCCUCCUUCAUGAAAAUGAUUGUGAGGAAAUGCUUUCACUAAGAAAGAUUUUAAGAAGAUAGUGAUUGUAAAAUUGCAUUCUCGAAUUCGAUUAUGGUUACGGUAUCCCUUUCCAUAAUUUGAAUUGUGAGGUUUGGCAAUUGUUUAGACACACAUAUGAACUAUCUAAGGCAAAGGUGUAUAAGUUCAAGAAGCCUUGAUAAAAGAUUAUCAAAGCACUAAGUAUUAGAAACAUGAACUUAAGAAAUUCAAUAAGCAUUGUUUUUCUGAAAGUUAAGCUGUUUCUGAAUACAUGUCAAAGCUAGUGGGAGCAUAAGUGUUAUGUUUAUAAUAAUCAUCAUGAUAGUGGGAGCAUAAAUGUUAUGAUUAUAUGAUUAUUAAGGCACGUAUUGCAAGUUGGCAAUAUUAAUUAUAGAAAACAAGAGUUAUACCUUGCAAAGUCGUAAGGGUUGUAAGGUUGUUUUGCUAUAAUUAAGGGAGAGAAUAUUAUGCUUCAUUUCAAAUCUAAAGGCUUAGGUUGAGAAAUGUUAAUAAAUUUAGUCAAAGGUACAUAGUGUGUUCUUAAAAUUUCGAUUAUGAUUACGACAUUCCUCUUCACAAUUCGAAUUUUGAGAACAUAGCAAAUGAAAUAUUAUGGCGGAAGAUUGAUAAAGUAUCAAAUCUUUAUGUAAGACAUUAUGCAUUGUCUCCCAUACGCUUCGGGUAUAGGAUUGAUUGCAUAGGCUAUAACAUUUGACCAUUCUAAAAUUUUCCAAAUGUCUAGCGCAUUUAGAGGGAAAAGGGACUAGAAUCGGUUUUGACUAAAAUAAUUAAACAUCUAUCAAAGGACAAUCCAAAGUUCGCCGAGGAUUGGUCGCUUGUGAGUAGUUAGAAGUAUAGUAUUGGAAGAUAUGGAAAUGUUUCCAUAUUGGAUGGACCAUAUCGACAUUAUUAUGAAUAGAUAAGAUUCUAUUAAGAAUGAGUUGUCAUAUGGAAAAUAUGGAAAUGUUUCCAUAUUGGGAAUUGAAUAUUGAAAAAUGUAUGACUAGAUUAGAAGCUUUUAUGCAAACAGGAUGUACAAAUGAAUGUACAUUGAGUGAGAGACAUCAUAUCUAAGGAAUUGUCUUGUAACAAUCCCCGAUAGAAGACUUUGUAAUAUCAUUGGCAAUAGUCUUCGUGACUUUGGUGCAGUGACAUUACGAAAGGAUCGUUGCAUAGAAUAUUAGAAUCUAGCAUAUUCUAUAAGUAGCAAGAAUUUGAUAUUCUUUCACUUAUGAAAAAGUAUUUGGAGUUGUGAAAUGAGAAUGAUUGGAAGUGUGUUCAAUUUGAUCUAUUUCACAAAGUAAGAACCAUAGGUAAACAUUGUGUGCAUGCUAAGAGCAUGGGACAAGUGU
rnacentral:lncRNA from 1 species